GCUAUAUUGUAAUUAAGCUAAGCUAGUAGCUAUAUUGUUAUUAAGCUAAGCUAAUAGCUAUAUUGUUAUUAAGCUAGUAGCUAUAUUGUUUUAAGCUAGUAGCUAUAUUGUAAUUAAGCUAGUAGCUAUAUUGUUAUUAAGCUAGUAGCAUUAGCUCUGUGGCUCAUAGCAUAGCAUUAGCUCUCUGUAACGUUAGCUCGUAGCAUAGCAUUAGCUCUCUGUAACGUUAGCUUGUAAUCAGUCAAUAAAGUUAUUACAAACUGCUGCUGCUGUCUGUACAGCUGAUGUUGGGGUUUGUUGUUCUCUCAGUCUGUCAGGUGGAGGUGGAGGAGGGGGCGGAGUCUGUCCAACUGCCCUUCAAGACCACAGCUAACCUGCCUGAGGACGCUAAAGUGAGGUGGAGCUGCUAUGAAUACAUGACAGUCCAUGUGUAUCAGAACAGUUCUGACCAGCCUGACAAACAGAACCAGGAUUACAGAGACCGAACUGAGAUGAAUGAAGACCUGCUGAAAACUGGAGACCUCAGUCUGACCCUGAAAUCCCCCAAAGAGAGAGACACAGGAACAUACUACUGCAGAGUCUACAACAAGAACAUCUGGAGAGAGAAAACAGUGCAGCUCACAGGUCAGAGAGAGAACCAGGAACAGAAGCAGCUCCAUUGAUCCAACUCCUCUGAUGGCUGAUCAAUCUGUUUGAUUGGUCUGUUGAUCAAUCUUUGAUUAUUGAUCUUGUUGAAGGGGCUCAAAGGAAGAGAAUGUCAACGUUCAGCUUUCAGUGUUUCCUCUCUUCAUCGUCUGAAUGAACCUGCAGUCCAUACUGUGAUUGAUUGAUUGAUUGAUUGAUUGAUUGAUUGAUUGAUUGAUUGUUCUCAUGUAGCUCUAUAAUGCCUCUCUGAUGUUUGUGUAUUCAGCUUCUAUACAUAUAUAUCUGGCUGUGUCUCAGGAGGUAGAGCGGGUCGUCCACUGAUCAGAAGGUUGAUGGUUCGAUCCCCGGCUCCUCCCGCUGCAUGUCGAAGUGUCCUUGAGCAAAAUACUGAACCCCGAACUGCUCCUGAUGCUGAAUCACUGUAUGAAUGAGUGAAUGAGUGAAUGUGGCUGUAGUGUAAAUGGCUUUGAGUGGUCAGAACACUAGACAGACACUAAGUUCAGUCACUUUCUGUGAUUGAAUGAAGUUAUUGUUUGAGUGUCAGUCAGCUGAACUGUUCUCAUGUGUUUGAAUCCAUAAAGUGUUGUGAGCAGAUGAGUUAUGGAUUCGAUCAUUUCACACUCUGUUUAGAGAAUGAUGAAUAUUGAGGAGAACAACUGUAAAUAAAGCUCAAAUGUACAGAAAUCAUUUCUCCACUCUGACAGCAUCAUGAAAAUGGAUCUAAAGCUGUGAGAAUGAUGGAUUCAGGAGGCAUCAAAACUUUGAUUACAGCGCCCCCAUGUGGCAGAGCGGGAGCAGAUUUCUCUUAUUGUAUCUAGGUGUGAUGAUGGAGGCCAUGUGUCUCAGAUUGAUGAUUUCCUUUAAUAACAUAAUGAGUGUAAACUGUGUCUGUAGUGACAGCGUCCAUAAAGCGUUAUCAGCAGUGAAAUAUCUGCAGCUUCCACAAUCUAAUAUUGAUUCUCACUAAUUACAGUUGCUCAAUCACAUCAACUGUUAGUUGCCGCCUGUACGGCCUGUUGCUCUGCUCCAUGGGGACGGCACACUCGUCACACUCCAGGAACUGUCUGAGUUGAUUCUGGCGCCCCCUGUGGACAACAGCGGUAGUGUUUCUACUGCCUGGUUUCAUUGAUUUCAAGGGGAAUCCGACCCGGUGGCAGACAUUAACAAUAACUAUAUAGAAAUAUCCAAUCUUCUCUCUGAUUGUUUAUGUACAAUAACUCACUGUAGGACAUUUAAAGUAGUAACUCUAUGAUUCAACAGGUGAAGGUCCCAUUGCGUCAAGCCCCGCCCCCUUUUAAGUGAAAGCACUGCCUCUAACUUGACUGGUGGUAAAUGUAAAUUCUGAGCUCGUAAAAUAACAUUACUGUAUUGUUUGUAUCUAUUAGGAGCAUAAAUCCUAUAUCCAGCAAACAAUGCUGUUGUGUUGUUGUUCUAUAUAAAAUACACAAAUAGUUAUUGAUGAGUGUCCUGACAUAUACAGCGACCUUAUUCAAUCUCAUAUUUCUGCUGUCUGUCACUGUUUCUGUGCUUCACACUCUUUAUUAACUGUUUGUGUCCAAUGUGACGUUACUGUAAACUAAUUCCAGGGUUUGUGUUUAUUAAUCCACCUUUUACUACGAGACCACAGAAGAAGAAAACAGGAGGGUUUAUCUCCACUUCCUGUUACUCUCUGCUGUUUCCAAGGUUCAUUAUUAGAAGGUUGGUCAGCACAGUUUAUGGGAAUUAUUAAGCUUCAAAUCCCCUCUGCUCCACACUGUCACACCAAACUCCAUUCAAAAAACGGCUGUUUUAAGGAAGUAAAACCUUUAUUUCCACCAUCAGUGAGACUCUGAUUCUCUUCAGUCUACAGACACAAUCUGCUCACAUUGACUCAGUAACAUCAUUAACUAACCUGUGAGGAAGAGUUGGACACAGACACACUCACUGACUGUCUGUCUGUCAUUAACUAACCUGUGAGGAAGAGUUGGACACAGACACACUCACUGACUGUCUGUCAUUAACUAACCUGUGAGGAAGAGUUGGACACAGACACACUCACUGACUGUCUGUCAUUAACUAACCUGUGAGUUACUUGACAUUGUAGUGCAAACUAUUAGAAUUCUAGAUAUCUAGCAAUAAAAGUGCACAGCGACGCCCUCUGCUGGUUGAAAGCUGCUUUUACAGUUGAAUAGAAAAAGCUGUGAAUGGCUUUGUUCACUUUUUCAGUCCAAACAUUUGAGGAAACGUUGCUCGUUGUGUUGAAAACAGGAAGUGGGACAGUUUGCUCUUCCUGUGAAUGUCUCUUAUUUUGAUGUUGUCCAGG
rnacentral:lncRNA from 15 species